UAGUUUAAUUAGUCGAGUCCAAACAUUUAUUUUUAAAAGCACAAAUCAAUACAAAAUUAAAUUCAGUCAAUUCACUCCAAUCUAUCGAACCAAAAGGCCCUUACAACAUAUUUGUCAUGUAUGCGGUAUUUAUGGCAAGUAUCAUGUGGUGGAAAUAAAAUGACAAAAUAAAAACCACUUUGACAAAUAAUAGUGUGUAAUAAUGUCGCAUCUAGGGCUAGAUUAAUUAUGAUACUAGUUUUUAUACAUUCAUUGUCAUACAAAUUUUGUACCCUAAAUUAAUGUAAGCAAUCAAAUUUUAUUAGCAUUUGAGAAUGAAAAUCAUAACCUCAGUUAGCAAUAU
rnacentral:lncRNA from 1 species